ACAACAGUUGGAAACGACUGCUAAUACCGCAUAAGCCCACGGCUCGGCAUCGAGCAGAGGGAAAAGGAGCAAUCCGCUUUGAGAUGGCCUCGCGUCCGAUUAGCUAGUUGGUGAGGUAACGGCCCACCAAGGCGACGAUCGGUAGCCGGACUGAGAGGUUGAACGGCCACAUUGGGACUGAGACACGGCCCAGACUCCUACGGGAGGCAGCAGUGGGGAAUAUUGCACAAUGGGGGAAACCCUGAUGCAGCGACGCCGCGUGGAGGAAGAAGGUCUUCGGAUUGUAAACUCCUGUUGUUGGGGAAGAUAAUGACGGUACCCAACAAGGAAGUGACGGCUAACUACGUGCCAGCAGCCGCGGUAAAACGUAGGUCACAAGCGUUGUCCGGAAUUACUGGGUGUAAAGGGAGCGCAGGCGGGAAGACAAGUUGGAAGUGAAAUCUAUGGGCUCAACCCAUAAACUGCUUUCAAAACUGUUUUUCUUGAGUAGUGCAGAGGUAGGCGGAAUUCCCGGUGUAGCGGUGGAAUGCGUAGAUAUCGGGAGGAACACCAGUGGCGAAGGCGGCCUACUGGGCACCAACUGACGCUGAGGCUCGAAAGUGUGGGUAGCAAACAGGAUUAGAUACCCUGGUAGUCCACACCGU
rnacentral:rRNA from 1 species